GGUAAAAUGUAUCAUUUCUUACCAAAUGUGACUUGGAGAGAAUACAGUGAAGUGAGUCCUCAGUUCUGUGUUUGAGAAGGGGAGUUUUUUUGGGUUGGCUUGGUUACAGUCUGAUGGUAAAACAUUAGCAUAGGAAAACUCAUGAACGAUUCAAAGGCAAAGUUUUCCAACUUUUUAGUUUAUUUCAUACAGUAGGCAAUAUGAUGGAAAAAUACUCUGACAAUUCACUUGUAAUGUCAAUUACAUUUUGAUUCUAUGUAGCCUAAUGAACGGAGUGAGUAUGGUUAACACUUUACUUUUAGAAAUGUAAUUAAUAACGACAGUGUAAAGUGUUACUUGCAAUAUUUAGCUGUCAAGAUUAAUAUAUUCUGCGGAAUUUGCUGCUUCUAUUGGAGGCAAUAAAGUAGAGCUGGAGUAUCCGGAAACCGCGCUUCUUCAUUGAUGAAUGAAGCGCGAGGGCAGGGCUCUCUGUUUGAGGAAAGUCGAGCGCCACGAUUUGUUUACGAACGUGCGCGGACACUCUUCAAGUGUACCUUUUGCUUUAUUGGUCUCAGUUCUCAUCCCACCGUCCUGGAACAAGACUGGUAUGUUCACUCGCAGCUCCAAGAAGAGAGAAUCCAGUAGAACGCUGAACACCCUUGCUGAAUCAGAGAGUGAACAGCUGUGUAACGUGUGUGGAGACCAGUGACCGGGCUUCAUUCUGCACCAAUGGAGUGUCAGUAUUGGCAUGGAGAUGGAUGCCAACCUCCAGUAAAAGCCCUGAAGAGGUUUACUGGUAAUUAUUGGACCAAAUCCCUAUCUCCUCCACUCCCCGUGUCCUUUAAAGUGGUAAGCAGCAACAUCUGUGCCGCGUGGUAACACUCAUUUAGGUCAGGAGGCAAAUGAGAUG
rnacentral:lncRNA from 1 species